rnacentral:lncRNA from 1 species
UUUUUUUUUAAUUCUUUGUCUACAAUUUUCCAAACCAUCAAUAUUGAUUUUGAUGGAUUUUUUCUUUGUUUGAAAAUACUAAUGUAGAAAUUUUUUUAGUGACUUGCCAUCCAACUCAUUUAUGUUUUUAUGUUUAUGCGUCGACUCAUCAUCUACUAGACCCAAAACCCUAAAAAAAUUAAUUAUAAAAACAAGAAAAAUUCAUCUCAACCCAACAAUCUUCAAAGAACCUAGCAGUCUUCAUCCCUUCUACUCCAAAGUCCUUCACCUUCAAAGAAUCCAUCCAACUUCAUCCACAUAUUUCCCCUUAAUUGUUGUAUUUGUUAUCGCAUAUGGAAGAUGUUUGUUGGACAUCUCAUGGGAUGUAUAUAUUUUAAGAGAUAAAGAGAUAUAAGAGAAUGGUGUGAUAGGAAGAGAGAUAGCAAUAAAACCAGGUAUGGUAUGAAUGUAUAAAAAUUAUGGAUAUACAUUGUUGUUAUUGUAUUGGUAGUCUCACGAGAGUGAAAAUGUUUCACAACGACG